UUGACCUCGGAUCAGGUAGGGAUACCCGCUGAACUUAAGCAUAUCAAUAAGCGGGAGGGAA
rnacentral:rRNA from 2 species